UUGUGCAAAAAGUCCUAUGCAUUAAAGGUACUUGCAUUAACAUGUUCUCCUUUCACUUCUGUAUAGUUGCGAUCUCACUGCUGCCAUCUUCUUGUUCAGAAUCAAGUGCUGCUGUGCAUAUUGACUCAGGGGAACCUUGGAUCUACAUCCAAAUGUGAACCAGCACUGCGGAAUAUGUCGACAGUUUAUAAAUAGAAGAAAUUCCAGUGGCACACUGAAUGCUGAAAAAGUGUUUAGUUUAUUCACCCAAAUACAUACAGACAAGGGCAACGUUUCGGACCACUCGGGCCCUUUGUCAAGCCUGGUGUAACAAUCCGGCAAAGAGAACACAGAGAGAAUCUCGCGAGGCUACACGAGAGGUCCGGCCGGCAGCACACACCAAGGAGCAUCACGUGACAGGAAGGAGACGCCACGCUGGAACCAACAGAGUUACGGAUCAGACCGUGAGGGACGCCAAUACCGGAUAGAAGGAGCGCACCGUCCACGAGUGGAUUUCGCAGAGGAUUAUUCUACAGAUAACACAGCAUCGUCCUCCUCCUCCUCUUGUUUUUUAGAGCCACGGACUCCAGGCCCCACAAGGUCAGGAGAGGGGCACGGAGACAGAGCAAGGGACGACCCGCAUCACAACAAGGACACUCGUUAUUACACUGCCCCAGGGGAACGGAGACAGCAACCACCACGGACACCAUGACGGACCGGACACAAACAACGUUACUAGUAUUAAACACACUGAGUGCUGACAUCGUUACCUACAUACUAACAUGUGUCUCAGGAAGGUGCUGAGUACAGUAUGUGG